rnacentral:rRNA from 1 species
GAUGAACGCUGGCGGCGUGCCUAAUACAUGCAAGUCGAGCGACGCGGGGACGGGUGAGUAACACGUGGAUAACCUCCUAUAAGACUGGGAUAACUUCGGGAAACCGGAGCUAAUCCGGAUACUUAUAGAUGGAUCCGCGCUGCAUUAGCUAGUUGGUAAGGUAACGGCUUACCAAGGCAACGAUGCAUAGCCGACCUGAGAGGAUGAGCGGCCACACUGGGACUGAGACACGGCCCAGACUCCUACGGGAGGCAGCAGUGGGGAAUAUUGCACAAUGGGCGAAAGCCUGAUGCAGCCAUGCCGCGUGUAUGAAGAAGGCCUUAGGGUUGUAAAGUACUUUCAGCGGGGAGGCGUUACCCGCAGAAGAAGCACCGGCUAACUCCGUGCCAGCAGCCGCGGUAAUUC